ACUGCAUUAUGAGCACUUCAAGU
rnacentral:miRNA from 1 species